AACGAACGCUGGCGGCAUGCCUAACACAUGCAAGUCGAACGAGACCUUCGGGUCUAGUGGCGCACGGGUGCGUAACGCGUGGGAACCUGCCCUUAGGUUCGGAAUAACUCCCCGAAAGGGGUGCUAAUACCGGAUAAUGUCUUCGGACCAAAGAUUUAUCGCCUUUGGAUGGGCCCGCGUUGGAUUAGCUAGUUGGUAGGGUAAAAGCCUACCAAGGCGACGAUCCAUAGCUGGUCUGAGAGGAUGAUCAGCCACACUGGGAGUGAGACACGGCCCAGAAUCCUACGGGAGGCAGCAGUGGGGAAUAUUGGACAAGGGGCGAAAGUCUGAUCCAGCAAUGCCGCGUGAGUGAUGAAGGCCUUAGGGUUGUAAAGCUCUUUUAACCGGGAUGAUAAUGACAGUACCGGGAGAAUAAGCCCCGGCUAACUCCGUG
rnacentral:rRNA from 1 species